GAACGCUGGCGGCAGGCUUAACACAUGCAAGUCGAGCGGGGAAGGUAGCUUGCUACUACCUAGCGGCGGACGGGUGAGUAAUGCUUAGGAAUCUGCCUAUUAGUGGGGGACAACAUUCCGAAAGGAAUGCUAAUACCGCAUACGUCCUACGGGAGAAAGCAGGGGAUCUUCGGACCUUGCGCUAAUAGAUGAGCCUAAGUCGGAUUAGCUAGUUGGUGGGGUAAAGGCCUACCAAGGCGACGAUCUGUAGCGGGUCUGAGAGGAUGAUCCGCCACACUGGGACUGAGACACGGCCCAGACUCCUACGGGAGGCAGCAGUGGGGAAUAUUGGACAAUGGGCGGAAGCCUGAUCCAGCCAUGCCGCGUGUGUGAAGAAGGCCUUUUGGUUGUAAAGCACUUUAAGCGAGGAGGAGGCUACUCUAGUUAAUACCUAGAGAUAGUGGACGUUACUCGCAGAAUAAGCACCGGCUAACUCUGUGCCAGCAGCCGCGGUAAUACAGAGGGUGCGAGCGUUAAUCGGAUUUACUGGGCGUAAAGCGUGCGUAGGCGGCUGAUUAAGUCGGAUGUGAAAUCCCUGAGCUUAACUUAGGAAUUGCAUUCGAUACUGGUCAGCUAGAGUAUGGGAGAGGAUGGUAGAAUUCCAGGUGUAGCGGUGAAAUGCGUAGAGAUCUGGAGGAAUACCGAUGGCGAAGGCAGCCAUCUGGCCUAAUACUGACGCUGAGGUACGAAAGCAUGGGGAGCAAACAGGAUUAGAUACCCUGGUAGUCCAUGCCGUAAACGAUGUCUACUAGCCGUUGGGGCCUUUGAGGCUUUAGUGGCGCAGCUAACGCGAUAAGUAGACCGCCUGGGGAGUACGGUCGCAAGACUAAAACUCAAAUGAAUUGACGGGGGCCCGCACAAGCGGUGGAGCAUGUGGUUUAAUUCGAUGCAACGCGAAGAACCUUACCUGGUCUUGACAUAGUAAGAACUUUCCAGAGAUGGAUUGGUGCCUUCGGGAACUUACAUACAUCAGCUCGUGUCGUGAGAUGUUGGGUUAAGUCCCGCAACGAGCGCAACCCUUUUCCUUAUUUGCCAGCGGGUUAAGCCGGGAACUUUAAGGAUACUGCCAGUGACAAACUGGAGGAAGGCGGGGACGACGUCAAGUCAUCAUGGCCCUUACGACCAGGGCUACACACGUGCUACAAUGGUCGGUACAAAGGGUUGCUACCUAGCGAUAGGAUGCUAAUCUCAAAAAGCCGAUCGUAGUCCGGAUUGGAGUCUGCAACUCGACUCCAUGAAGUCGGAAUCGCUAGUAAUCGCGGAUCAGAAUGCCG
rnacentral:rRNA from 1 species